rnacentral:rRNA from 1 species
CGCNUGGGAACGUACCCCAAAGNGAGGGAUAAGCCCGAGAAAUCGGGUCUAAUACCGCAUAUGAUCUUCGGAUUAAAGGAUUUAUCCGCUUUGGGAGCGGCCUGCGUACGAUUAGAUAGUUGGUGAGGUAAUGGCUUACCAAGUCUACGAUCGUUAGCUGGUCUGAGAGGAUGACCAGCCAGACUGGAACUGAGACACGGUCCAGACUCCUACGGGAGGCAGCAGUAAGGAAUCUUCCACAAUGGACGAAAGUCUGAUGGAGCAACUCCGCGUGCAGGAUGAAGGCCUUCGGGUUGUAAACUGCUUUUAUUUGUGAAGAAUAUGACGGUAACAAAUGAAUAAGGGUCGGCUAACUACGUGCCANCAGCCGCGGUCAUACGUAGGACCCAAGCGUUAUCCGGAGUGACUGGGCGUAAAGAGUUGCGUAGGUGGGUCAGUAAAGCGAAUAGUNGAAANUNUGGUGGCUCAACCCACACAGGCUAUUAUUUGAACUCACUGACUCGAGNAAUGGUAGAGGUAACUGGAAUUUCUAGUGUAGGAGUGAAAUCCGUAGAUAUUAGAAGGAACACCAAUGGCGUAAGCAGGUUACUGGACCAUUUCUGACACUGAGGCACGAAAGCGUGGGGAGCGAACCGGAUUAGAUACCCGGGUAGUCCACGCCGUAAACGAUGGAUACUAGCUGUUGGAGGUAUCGACCCCCUCCAGUAGCGAAGCUAACGCNGUUAAGUAUCCCGCCUGUGGAGUNACGGUCGCAAGACUAAAACAUAAAGGAAUUGACGGGGACCCGCACAAGCGGUGGAUCGUGUUCUUUAAUUCGAGGCUAAACGAAGAACCUUACCAGGACUUGACAUCCUUGGAAUUACUGCGAAAGCAGUGAGUGCUUUAUUGAACCAAGUGACAGGUGUUGCAUGGCCGUCGUCAGCUCGUGUCGUGAGAUGUUGGGUUAAGUCCCGUAACGAGCGCAACCCUCGCCCUUAGUUACCAGCAGUUCGGCUGGGGACUCUAAGGGGACUGCCGGUGAUAAACCGGAGGAAGGCGGGGAUGACGUCAAGUCAUCAUGGCCCUUACGAGUAGGGCAACACACGUGCUACAAUGGGCAGUACAGAGGGUCGCCAACCCGCGAGGGGGAGCUAAUCUCAAAAAACUGCUCGUAGUCCAGAUUGGAGUCUGCAACUCGACUCCAUGAAGUCGGAAUCGCUAGUAAUCGCGGAUCAGCACGCCGCGGUGAAUACGUUCCCGGGCCUUGUACACACCGCCCGUCACACCAUGGGAGUGGCUUGUACCAGAAGCGGGUAGGAUAACCGAAANGAGUCCGCCC